UACGUAGGGUGCAAGCGUUGUCCGGAAUUAUUGGGCGGAAAGAGCUCGUAGGCGGUUUGUUGCGUCGGCUGUGAAAUCCCGAGGCUCAACCUCGGGUCUGCAGUCGAUACGAGCAAACUAGAGUGUUGCAGGGGAGACUGGAAUUCCUGGUGUAGCGGUGAAAUGCGCAGAUAUCAGGAGGAACACCGAUGGCGAAGGCAGGUCUCUGGGCCACUACUGACGCUGAGAAGCGAAAGCGUGGGGAGCGAACAGG
rnacentral:rRNA from 1 species